rnacentral:rRNA from 1 species
AAGAGUUUGAUCAUGGCUCAGAUUGAACGCUGGCGGCAGGCCUAACACAUGCAAGUCGAACGGUAACAGAAAGCAGCUUGCUGCUUUGCUGACGAGUGGCGGACGGGGGAGUAAUGUCUGGGAAACUGCCUGAUGGAGGGGGAUAACUACUGGAAACGGUAGCUAAUACCGCAUAACGUCGCAAGACCAAAGAGGGGGACCUUCGGGCCUCUUGCCAUCGGAUGUGCCCAGAUGGGAUUAGCUUGUUGGUGGGGUAACGGCUCACCAAGGCGACGAUCCCUAGCUGGUCUGAGAGGAUGACCAGCCACACUGGAACUGAGACACGGUCCAGACUCCUACGGGAGGCAGCAGUGGGGAAUAUUGCACAAUGGGCGCAAGCCUGAUGCAGCCAUGCCGCGUGUAUGAAGAAGGCCUUCGGGUUGUAAAGUACUUUCAGCGGG